UUAUUGACAUCCUUCAAAAUCAAACCAACUUGCCAUUGAUCUUUGAAGGGGAGCACCACACGUCUUCCACGCGCCAAUCAUCCACUGCCUCCUCUAGAUCCAGCUAUGACUCGCCAGUGGACUCUGAAAAGGCUCACCUUGCACCUUCUACACGCUUCCACUCCAUUGACUCCCUCCAGAUGUAACCGAGACUUGCCAUUAGACUCUGAACGAGCUCACCACGCUCUUCUACACGCCCCUACACCAGAGCAAACCAAAACAAGCAGCACCU
rnacentral:lncRNA from 1 species